CAACCUCUGCAGAGAUGCUGCGCUGGUCCACCUUUGCACACUCCCCCCACGGCGCCAAUCGGACACACGCCUCUAACGGGAAAUUUUGUGGCUGUCUGGAGUGUCGAUGGAAACGGGGGAUUUUCGAUUGGCUGAUACGUAAUAGACCAAAAACAGACAUACGGGAAAAGACGCCAAGACGGCAUCUAGAGGGAAAUCACCGGACGGGGGAGCUACGCCUUCUCGCCUACCCCCAACUCCCAGUUGGUCGCGUACGAAUGACAGCCACGAUGGCAGCAUACCACAGUAGCGGCUGGGGCAUGGAGGCAAUCGUGCCGAAUGUGUGGAGAAAUUGAGGACUUUCCAAGUAGUGUUUCGAACUGACACUGUAACCAGAUCGGUUAUCGCAUGAUUAGCUGCACUCUCUGUUUCGUGUGCCUUUCUUGGUAUACGGCGUCACGCGGGACGAGCGGGGACGAUGCGGGCACUACAGUCAAGCCUUGUCUUGGCGUGGCUCUAUGUCUGUACAAGCUUCGCUGUUUCUUCGAGACCACUUGAAGGUUCGUUUUUUGCAACGAGAUAGUUGAUUUUGAGACUCCUCGAGGGCCACGACCAUCUCGAAUGCACCCGGUUGUUUCUCCCGUCUCCCGGAGACCUGCACUCGGCCGUUCCUCGCGUCGCUGGGACAGGAAAGGGAGACAGGGGAAGGUGGCAUUUCUUGAAAAUCAUUCGGAAAGGGACCGCCGAACUGUCCGUUCCACCAUGCGAUGGUAAAAGAGUUGGGACACUUUUUUGUGGCCGUCUUCAGCAGUACGAGCGAGUUGAUGACUCCAUGCACCAGGUUCUUCGUCAUCCGUCAGUCCGGAGAAGAUCUGCACUUUAGCGUAAACAAAAGAAAACCUACCUAUAUUUGCUCAUUCCUCCCCAAAUUCAUUUUGAUCGCAGUCCUACAUGUUGGCUGGUGUGCGAGUGGCGAUGGCGCCGCUGAAUCCGUAGGAAAACGGACGCGGCCCGACUUCACUCGGCACAAGAAGGUCCGGCCAACCGAUGCCUGAAAAUUCUUUCAUUGUUGGUUUGCUUCAUGCUCGUUUUGUGAAUUUUUUACCCGUGUUUCCAUCUUCCUUUGUCAGUCACGCUUAACGGCUGAACACGAGAGUAUUUCGUGUUCCCAUACCACCAAACUUCGGUUGUAAAAAUUAAUCGGAAUUACACAUCGC
rnacentral:lncRNA from 1 species